rnacentral:rRNA from 1 species
CCUACGGGAGGCAGCAGUGGGGAAUAUUGCACAAUGGGGGAAACCCUGAUCCAGCGACGCCGCGUGAGUGAAGAAGUAAUUCGUUAUGUAAAGCUCUAUCAGCAGGGAAGAAAAUGACGGUACCUGAGUCAGAAGCCCCGGCUAUAUACGGGCCACCAGCCGCGGCAAUAUGUAGGGGGCAAGCGUUAUCCGGAUUUACUGGGUGUAAAGGGAGCGUAGACGGGAGUGCAAGUCUGGAGUGAAAGGCGGGGGCUCAACCCCCGGACUGCUCUGGAAACUGUACGGCUGGAGUGCAGGAGAGGUAAGUGGAAUUCCUAGUGUAGCGGUGAAAUGCGUAGAUAUUAGGAGGAACACCAGUGGCGAAGGCGGCUUGCUGGACUGUAACUGACGUUGAGGCUCGAAAGCGUGGGGAGCGAACAGGAUUAGAUACCCUGGUAGUC